rnacentral:rRNA from 1 species
AUUGAACGCUGGCGGCAGGCCUAACACAUGCAAGUCGAACGGUAACAGGAAGCAGUUUGCUGCUUCGCUGACGAGUGGCGGACGGGUGAGUAAUGUCUGGGAAACUGCCUGAUGGAGGGGGAUAACUACUGGAAACGGUAGCUAAUACCGCAUAACGUCGCAAGACCAAAGAGGGGGACCUUAGGGCCUCUUGCCAUCGGUUGUGCCCAGAUGGGAUUAGCUAGUAGGUGGGGUAACGGCUCACCUAGGCGACGAUCCCUAGCUGAUCUGAGAGGAUGACCAGCCACACUGGAACUGAGACACGGUCCAGACUCCUACGGGAGGCAGCAGUGGGGAAUAUUGCGCAAUGGGCGAAAGCCUGAUGGAGCAACGCCGCGUGAGUGAUGAAGGCCUUCGGAUUGUAAAGUACUGUCAGUGGGGAGGAAGGAAGUAGAAAGUAAACAUGUGCUCAUUGACGUUACCCGCACAAGAAGCAACGGCUAACUCCGUG